rnacentral:lncRNA from 1 species
GUGAAAACUACCCCUAAAAGCAACAAUGGGAAUGGAAAAGACUCAUAUCAACAUUGUUGUCAUUGGACAUGUAGAUUUGGGCAAGUCCACCACUACUGGUCAUCUGAUCUACAAAUGCGGUGGCAUCGACAAAAGAACCACUGAAAAAUUUGAGAAGAAGGCUGCUGGAGCUGGCAAGGUCACCAAGUUGCCCAGAAAGGUCAGAAGGCUAAAUGAAUAUUAUCCCUAAUACCUGCCACCCGGUCUUAAUCAGUGGUGGAAGAAUGGUCUCAGAACUGUUUGUUUCAAUUGGCCAUUUAAGUUUAGUAGUAAAAGACUGGUUAAUGAUAACAAUGCAUCAUAAAACCUUCAGA